rnacentral:rRNA from 1 species
CGGACGGGUGAGUAACGCGUGGGUAACCUGCCUCAUACAGGGGGAUAACGGUUAGAAAUGACUGCUAAUACCGCAUAAGCGCACAGUACCGCAUGGUACAGUGUGAAAAACUCCGGUGGUAUGAGAUGGACCCGCGUCUGAUUAGCUAGUUGGUGGGGUAACGGCCCACCAAGGCGACGAUCAGUAGCCGACCUGAGAGGGUGACCGGCCACAUUGGGACUGAGACACGGCCCAA